UCCCAGUUCGGAUUGUAGUCUGCAACCCGACUACAUGAAGCUGGAAUCGCUAGUAAUCGCGAAUCAGAAUGUCGCGGUGAAUACGUUCCCGGGUCUUGUACACACCGCCCGUCACACCAUGGGAGUCGGAAAUGCCCGAAGUCAGUGACCUAACCGAAAGGGAGGAGCUGCCGAAGGUGGAGCCGGUAACUGGGGUGAAGUCGUAACAAGGUAUC
rnacentral:rRNA from 1 species